rnacentral:rRNA from 1 species
CCCUUAGAGUUUGAUCCUGGCUCAGAAUGAACGCUGGCGGCAUGGAUUAGGCAUGCAAGUCGUGCGAGAACCUCUCCUUCGGGAGAGGGGACAGCGGCGAACGGGGUAGUACUACGUCGGUACGUGCCCUCGGGUCCGGGAUAGCCGCGGGAAACUGCGGGUAAUACCGGAUGACCUCUCCGGAGCAAAGGUGAGACUCCGCCCGAGGAGCGGCCGACGCGAUACCAGCUUGUUGGUGAGGUAAAAGCUCACCAAGGCGAAGACGUCUAGGGGGUGUGAGAGCAUGGCCCCCACCACUGGGACUGAGACACUGCCCAGACACCUACGGGUGGCUGCAGUCGAGAAUCUUCGGCAAUGGGCGCAAGCCUGACCGAGCGAUGCCGCGUGCGGGAUGACGGCCCUUGGGUUGUAAACCGCUGUCAGAGGGGAUGAAGGCGGCGCGAAGAGCGUCGCUUGACAGAGCCUCAGAGGAAGCCCGGGCUAAGUACGUGCCAGCAGCCGCGGUAACACGUACUGGGCGAGCGUUAUUCGGAAUCACUGGGCUUACAGGGUGCGUAGGCGGCCGGCCAGGUCGGGUGUGAAAGUCUCUAGCUCAACUAGAGAAUUGCGCCCGAAACCUGUCGGCUCGAGUCAGCUAGGGGUCCGCGGAACUUCCGGGUGGAGCGGUGAAAUGUGUUGAUAUCGGAAGGAACGCCGGUGGCGAAAGCGGCGGACUGGGGCUGAACUGACGCUGAGGCACGAAAGCCAGGGGAGCGAACGGGAUAGAUACCCCGGUAGUCUGGCCGUAA